CGGGGCGUAGCGCAGCCUGGUUUUAGCGCGCGUGCCUUGGGAGCACGAGGUCCCCGGUUCGAAUCCGGGCGCCCCGA
rnacentral:tRNA from 1 species